rnacentral:tRNA from 1 species
AAAAUUUAACUGUGCAAUUCAGUUUAAUUUGAUAGCAAUAUUCUUACUUAUUUUAUUUAUAAUUUAAUUUGAGAAU